GACUCAAUCAGUAUCAACGUGUGCUCAGAGGCGUCAUGGCCAUUCAAAGUGAUUUUAGAGCCAAGUGGAUUUUGAAUGCAGCUUCCAAAAGACAAAAAAUAACCGAAUAAUAUUUUCUAUAUUUGAAACAAUCACACCAGCAUGAUUAAAUUGUUCAGCGCGUCAUAUCAUCAGCUGUUAAAAUUCAAAUCUGCGUUCGCUGUCUGGCACUGAGCCAGAUACAGAUGCGUUUUACAGCACUGCGCAUUAUAAACAAUCACACACGAUGCUGUUGAG